rnacentral:lncRNA from 1 species
GCAAUCAGAAUGGAUCAGUGAGCUUUGUAGUCACUGGCUAGCGGUCUCUGAUGGUCAUUUUUGGACAUCCGGGAAUAUCAGUGACUACAAGAUCCUUUGUUGUAGAUUGGGGCGCCAUACAUGUCUGUGAUUAGGAAGCUUAAUGGGUGUUAAGAAGGAUUGGGAAAUUUAGAGGUUGGGGAUGGGAGAGUUAAGGAUUUGAGUCUGCAGUCCUGCAUAAUGGGAGCACACUUCACCCCUGGGACACUCUCCAGCUGAUGAGCAGUCAGUUCAGUUCAGUCUCUCCCAAAAGCCCACAUCAAAAACUCUGAAAUCUCCUUCCCCUUUUUAUUGUCCCAGCGUUAAAGAAAGUGCUUUCAAAGGACCAAGUGUUAAACUUAUCUAAAGUAAUAUGUUAUUAAAGAUGUGUCUUCUAUUGCUUUUGCCAAGCAUUUAGUGCAUAUUUCUUUAAAUGUUUCCUUUAAGGUCCUUUCUGGCAACAGUAAUGAUGUAUCCGUCUGUGACAGCAUCCCAAGAAUGAGUCUGGUUUCUGGAAAUCUGUUCUGACUCCAUGGCAGCUAGGAUGGAUGUGUCUUUGCCUGUGGUUAAAAAACAAAGAAUUUACUGAGUUACCUGAGUCCCCUGUACACCUGUGGGUCCCACCACUUCGCUGACAGCAGGGCUCCACAGGACCUUGGUCAAGUCUACAGAAGGCCCUGCCUGGGGCUACAGCUGAGGGUGAGUUACUGUUGAGAGAUGGAGCUGUGAGGGACUAGCAGGCCAGGUAGAAGAUCCUCUGGAUCCAGAGAGGGGAUCUUGGGAAAAGAAUCUCUUCUGAAGGAGGAACGUAGGGUCCGAGACCUCUUGCCAGAGCAAAGACUUCUAAGUAGCAGGAAAUAGCAUCAUCCCUUAGCCAGAAGCUGAGCAAGACUCAACUUGGCAUCAUUCCUUCCAGAGACCCUCCAUGGCUCAGGGUAGGGAAAUCUUGGUUCCAAGAUUCAGAGAGACCGAAGUGAAGGGGAAAGCAGGGAAGGUCAAGUG